rnacentral:misc_RNA from 1 species
UUCAAAUUUUCCUUUUCUAUACGCACGCAUAUAUAUUAUCUUCGUUGUUAAUUUUGUGCUUGUGGGUUAUGGCUCAAAGUCUUUUUUCUUUUGGAGGCAAUCGGGACGAGUCGUGAUGCCAAUUCCCAAUUUUUUUGAACUUAUAAUUUGGCUCCAUUUUUUUUCGGAAUUAAUGUGUGAGAACUGGAAUCUGGGUGUUUUUGCACUCACGUAACUAGAUCUGUGUUUAAUUUUAAAAAAAAUCCGUUAUUUUCCGUAGAUUGUUCUUACUGUUUGUGAUUUUUUUCUACAUGGGUUGAUUUAAAAAGUCCUCUUUUAGUUGUCAGUUGACUUGUUCUGUAAAUUUUUCCUAUUAAGCUUGAGUUAGCUUGUUAAAGCACUGAAAUUUUAGUAGUCGUAAACAUUAAAUUUUAAACAACAAAAAUGUUAGAACAGAAGUGGGAAAUAACCUGCUAAUCUUUAUUUAUCCUCUAGGCUUUAGGGUAUAUAAAUCAACCAAAACAUGCUAUGUGCAAUGUUGGUGUUAUUAUUGUGAUACAAAUGGUUUGUGGUUGAUAGAGGUUGUUUUCUGAUUAAAGUUAUGGGAGUUUCUAUGGUAACUUCUUUUUAACAAAGUAAAUUUUACUUUGUCAAUAACUACCAUUAGAUGAA